rnacentral:rRNA from 1 species
AACGAACGCUGGCGGCGCGCUUAACACAUGCAAGUCUCAGGGGCUUGGGGGCAACUCCAAGUCACUGGCAGACGGGUGAGUAACACGUGAGCAACCAUCCUUCGAGUGUGGAAUAACCUGCCGAAAGGCGGGCUAAUACCGCAUAACACUCUCCUGACUUUGGUCGGGAAAUUUAAAGCCGGGGACCGCAAGGCCUGGCGCUUGAAGACGGGCUCGCGCCUGAUUAGCUAGUUGGCGGGGUAACGGCCCACCAAGGCAAUGAUCAGUAGCCGAUCUGAGAGGUAUGACCGGCCACACUGGCACUGAGACACGGGCCAGACUCCUACGGGAGGCAGCAGUGGGGAAUCUUGGGCAAUGGGCGAAAGCCUGACCCAGCGACGCCGCGUGAAGGAUGACGGUUUUCG